AACGAACGCUGGCGGCAUGCCUAACACAUGCAAGUCGAACGAGACCUUCGGGUCUAGUGGCGCACGGGUGCGUAACGCGUGGGAACCUGCCCUUAGGUUCGGAAUAACUCCCCGAAAGGGGUGCUAAUACCGGAUAAUGUCUUCGGACCAAAGAUUUAUCGCCUUUGGAUGGGCCCGCGUUGGAUUAGCUAGUUGGUAGGGUAAAAGCCUACCAAGGCGACGAUCCAUAGCUGGUCUGAGAGGAUGAUCAGCCACACUGGGACUGAGACACGGCCCAGACUCCUACGGGAGGAAGCAGUGGGAAAUAUGGGAAAAUGGGGGAAAGUCGUAUCAAGAAGGGCCGCGUGAGUAAUGAGGGCCUGGGGGUUGAAAGCCUUUUUUCCCGGGGAAAAUAAGAAAAGUCCGGGAAAAAAAAGCCCCGGCAAACUCGGGG
rnacentral:rRNA from 1 species